UCUUUACCACUGAGCCGCCAGGGAAGCCAUAGACCCAGCCAAGAUCUGGACUGCAGCCUCGUGAGAGAGCUGAGCGAAAAUGACUGUGCAAAGCUGCUUCUGCGUUCCUGACUCUCAGAAACUGUCAAAAUCUACGGUCCUGUUUUCAUGGUGUGCUGAGCUCAGAGGAUGAUGUGGAAUGAUAUACAUGAGGAGAUUCAUUGACAAGAAAGCUCCUGGAGUCCAAACUUAAGGCCAAGGGCUGGAAAUGAAGCAAAUGGCCCCAGACAGGAGCUCUCCCUGGAUGUAUACUGCAGAUGCUAUUAUCAAUCCUAUUAUUCUGAGGAAGAAAUCAAG